rnacentral:rRNA from 1 species
GAUGAACGCUGGCGGCGUGCCUAAUACAUGCAAGUCGAGCGAACAGACGAGGAGCUUUCUCCUCUGACGUUAGCGGCGGACGGGUGAGUAACACGUGGAUAACCUACCUAUAAGACUGGGAUAACUUCGGGAAACCGGAGCUAAUACCGGAUAAUAUAUUGAACCGCAUGGUUCAAUAGUGAAAGACGGUUUUGCUGUCACUUAUAGAUGGAUCCGCGCCGCAUUAGCUAGUUGGUAAGGUAACGGCUUACCAAGGCAACGAUGCGUAGCCGACCUGAGAGGGUGAUCGGCCACACUGGAACUGAGACACAGUCCAGACUCCUACGGGAGGCAGCAGUAGGGAAUCUUCCGCAAUGGGCGAAAGCCUGACGGAGCAACGCCGCGUGAGUGAUGAAGGUCUUCGGAUCGUAAAACUCUGUUAUUAGGAAAGAAAAAAUGUGUAAGUAACUAUGCACGUCUUGACGGUACCUAAUCAGAAAGCCACGGCUAACUACGUG